rnacentral:rRNA from 1 species
CAUUUUAGUGGCGGACGGGUGGGUAACGCGUGGGUAACCUGCCUCACACUGGGGGAUAACACUUAGAAAUAGGUGCUAAUACCGCAUAAGCGCACGGGACUGCAUGGUCUUGUGUGAAAAACUCCGGUGGUGUGAGAUGGACCCGCGUCUGAUUAGCUGGUUGGCGGGGUAACGGCCCACCAAGGCGACGAUCAGUAGCCGGCCUGAGAGGGUGGACGGCCACAUUGGGACUGAGACACGGCCCAAACUCCUACGGAAGGCAGCAG